CUACGGGGGGCUGCAGUGAGGAAUAUUGCACAAUGGGGGGAACCCUGAUGCAGCAACGCCGCGUGGAGGAUGACGCAUUUCGGUGUGUAAACUCCUUUUAUAUGUCAAGAAAAUGACGGUAGCAUAUGAAUAAGCACCGGCUAACUCCGUGCCAGCAGCCGCGGUAAUACGGAGGGUGCAAGCGUUACUCGGAAUCACUGGGCGUAAAGGACGCGUAGGCGGGUUGGAAAGUCAGGUGUGAAAUCCUACAGCUUAACUGUAGAACUGCACUUGAAACUUCUAAUCUAGAGUAUGGGAGGGGGAGAUGGAAUUAGUGGUGUAGGGGUAAAAUCCGUAGAUAUCACUAGGAAUACCUAAAGCGAAGGCGAUCUCCUGGAACAUUACUGACGCUAAGGCGUGAAAGCAUUGGGAGCAAACAGGAUUAGAUACCCGGGUAGUC
rnacentral:rRNA from 1 species